rnacentral:rRNA from 1 species
CCAGUGGCGAAAGCGGCUNUCUGGUCUGUCACUGACGCUGAGGCUCGAAAGCGUGGGUAGCGAACAGGAUUAGAUACCCUGGUAGUCCACGCCGUAAACGAUGAGUGCUAGGUGUUAGGCCCNUUCCGGGGCUUAGUGCCGGAGCUAACGCAAUAAGCACUCCGCCUGGGGAGUACGACCGCAAGGUUGAAACUCAAAGGAAUUGACGGGGGCCCGCACAAGCGGUGGAGCAUGUGGUUUAAUUCGAAGCAACGCGAAGAACCUUACCAGGUCUUGACAUCCCGAUGCUAUUCUUAGAGAUAGGAAGUUACUUCGGUACAUCGGAGACAGGUGGUGCAUGGUUGUCGUCAGCUCGUGUCGUGAGAUGUUGGGUUAAGUCCCGCAACGAGCGCAACCCUUAUUGUUAGUUGCCAUCAUUAAGUUGGGCACUCUAGCGAGACUGCCGGUAAUAAACCGGAGGAAGGUGGGGAUGACGUCAAAUCAUCAUGCCCCUUAUGACCUGGGCUACACACGUGCUACAAUGGUCGGUACAACGAGUUGCGAGCCGGUGACGGCAAGCUAAUCUCUGAAAGCCGAUCUCAGUUCGGAUUGGAGGCUGCAACUCGCCUCCAUGAAGUCGGAAUCGCUAGUAAUCGCGGAUCAGCACGCCGCGGUGAAUACGUUCCCGGGCCUUGUACACACCGCCCGUCACACCACGAGAGUUUGUAACACCCGAAGUCGGUGAGGUAACCUUUUAGGGGCC